UAAAUUUUUUGAGAAACUCAGAAACUUCGAACUUGGAAUUGGGACGGCGGUCACGAAACAAGCGGUCCUCGACGAGCUGCAAUACUUCAUUUUGUGACAAAAUUUUGUUUACCCAACCCGUUACACAUCGGUGCCCCCACAGAACGCGCAGCUCCUUACCUCGUGUUCCAUUCUAAACGUACAUUAUCAGAUCAGUGGAACCUGGAGUGCGCCCGGAGACUAUCAUGCAUAAAUUACGCAAAAUGAACUAAUUACGCAUUCAAGAAAACAAAUUAACAACAAGUAAAAUAAAUCAUAAUUCUAUUUGAAUUUUCUGUGUUAACUUUAAAAUAGAUCUAUAGAAACGAGCUCUUAGAGAACAAAUUAUAUAUGCAAUUAAAAUAACGAUCAGCUUCUAAAAAAACUGAAAUUAAUUCUGUGAUCUAUGUCUCGUGCUUUUCAUUGACCAAGUCUAAUGUGCGGUGCAAAUGAUUAUGAUCAUAAAUACAAGCCAGCUGGUAAAAUUCACAUAAUUCUUCUGCUCUACCACCAAAUUCAAGAUGGUACAAUCUAUGAGAAUGAAAAGGGUUACUCGUUAGCAUCGAACUUAUCUGCAAAACAAAAUUCUUCCCGUUUUUUGAGAAGCU